CAAUAGCGUAUAUUUAAGUUGUUGCAGUUAAAAAGCUCGUAGUUGGAUUUCGGGCCCAGGUGACCGGUCCGCCGUUUCGGUGUGCACUGGUUAGCUCGGUCUUUCUGCCGGGGACGCGCUCCGUCUUAAUUGCCGGACGCGGAGUCGGCGAUGUUACUUUGAAAAAAUUAGAGUGUUCAAAGCAGGCUUACGCUCUGAAUACUAUAGCAUGGAAUAACACGAUAGGACUCCGAGCCUAUUUUGUUGGUCUUCGGGACCGGAGUAAUGAUUAAGAGGGACAGUUGGGGGCAUUCGUAUUACGGUGUCAGAGGUGAAAUUCUUGGAUUUCCGUAAGACGAACUUCUGCGAAAGCAUUUGCCAAGGAUGUUUUCAUUAA
rnacentral:rRNA from 1 species